rnacentral:tRNA from 1 species
GGGGAUGUAGCUCAGCUGGGAGAGCGCCGCCUUUGCAAGGCGGAGGCCAGGGGUUCGAAUCCCCUCAUCUCCACCA